GUAUAUAUUAUAUAUCUUUUGUGUUUAUUUACUAUCCCUAUGAUUCGCUGUAUUCAUUGCGCUAUUUUUAUCUGUAAUUGUAUUCAAUAACAUGGUAUAUCGACAACGGCCCACUCCAUAAAUUUACUUCCUUAUGCGACUGCUUGUCGAAUGCUAUGCUUACCUGUUAUUAUGGACAAAUAGGAUAUGAUAUUGUUUUUCUUUGUCAUCGAAACAAGUAUACAAGAUGUUUUAUUAUGAACGAAAAUGACUGUCGCAGGUUCGUGUAUGUGGGAGAGACCGGCGGAACUCUGUACCAGCGACAUCUAUUGAAUCUGUCGCGUAUUCGCACACAGCACAGUGACCCGGUAGCUGAACAUUUCUACACCAACGGACAUUCCAUGGAUGAUUUCCAAAUAAUGGGACUCGAAAAACUCAGCGGGUCGGACGAGUACCGCAAAACCAUGGAGCAAUUGUGGAAGUCAAAACUAAGGACAUACCGACCAUAUGGCAUCAACGUGCAAGAAUAAACGUUAAUAAAAGGGUGCGUAAACAACGUUGACGCCGGAAAUGCACGACGUCAUUUCCGUUUAUAAUAAAACAUCUGAAAAUAAAAAAUGGCCGCUGAUGAAGACCGUGAGGUCGAAAGCUUCGGCAAAAAAUAAAUACAGCGUUUUUUGUUUAAAUACAACAAGGCUAAUAGAGACUUUGUUAUAUAUAUAUAUAUAUAUAUAUAUAUAUAUAAUGCGAAUUGUUUACUAAUUUAUCUAUGUAUACUUUUUCCCCAGAAUUUGAUGAGUAAUAAUCAAUAUAAAUGUUUAAAUGAAAUUACUUAUGUAGAACAAUGUACUCUUUGUCUUAUUAUUUCAUUAACAACGGUCAUUUUCGAUGUUAAAAGGACAUAUCUUAUGUUAUGAAUCAGUAAAAUAUUUGUUAACUUCUUCCAUUACAUAAUUUUUAUAAUUAUUACCUAAUCUCAUAAAAAUUAUCAUCCAUGUCGUUGCACUUGUGUAUUAUGUAUCAUGCAUUUGACUAAAAAGCAAUUGUAUGCUUAAGAGCUAAUAAAUGUUGUUGUUGUAUAGCACUUGAACACAUGUUAUACUUUAAGUUCUGUGAAAACAAUUUAAAGCAUGGAGCUUACGCGUAAAACUUAAUGUUUAUAUAAACUUUUUGACAGCCGUGUUGUCAUCUUGACGUAUCAGUUGUUAUCCUAACAUUCUUGGUUUGAGAUAUUUAAUAUUCAUGUGCAUUAAAACAAAAUGAUUAACUUAGCUCUUAUCAAUUAUUUGCAUUUAUUUAAACAUAUUGUGUUUAGUUUUGAGUACGUUUAAGACUCACAUUUGCCACGUCUUUAAAAUGAACAAUAAAAUAUGUAUCAUAUUAUUUAUCGAAAUUCGCAAACCAAGUGCAUCUUCAUAUUAUACGUAAUACAGUGAUACGAUCUGUUUAAGGUAUUAACAUAUACCAAAUGUUAGUAAGAAUCAUGAAAAAUGAAUGCAAAAAUAUGUGCAUGUAUCCUCAAUAAGGAAGCAAUUUUAUGUUCAUUAUAUGAUAAUUACCUUUAAAAAAAAAAUACAGAUCGAGUAAUAUCCGCUGUGAAUUUAACACAUACAAGAAUGUCGGACAUCCUAUCAAUAAACCGAAUUUCAGUGUUCAUGGAAUGUAAUUGGAGAGAUAAUUUAUGCAAAUUUUUUUAACUACAAACUUUUGUAAUCCUUGAAGCAGAUCCAAUAUUAUAUGAACUAAGGCACGUGGACCAGCGAUAUAUAAUACAAAUUAACGAAUUCAUCAUUCCUAAGCUCAAUUUUUGCGUAAGUAAUGCAAUUUAAGAGUUAACAUAAGGAAAACACACAGGUUGCUCAAUUUGUAGUAUACUGAACUAUCAAUUAGGGGCUUAAGAGUUCGAACCCCAUCCAUCUUACAUAAAAUUACCAUGUUAUUAUUUUUCUGGCCACCCUGCCCCUUUAUCUGAUUCAUGUAGGGCAGAUGUCAUUUACUAGCAUAAUAAUUCAGAAAAUACUUUCAACCGCUCAGCUGCUUGACUUGCUAAUGAAAAGUAUGCAUCGGUUAACUGGCCACCAUAACAUGACUCAAAUACUGUCCAAAACGGCAAAAUUACAGACAGGAAAAAUCUGAACAAACAUGUUUUAUUGAGCCAAGAUACAUUUUAUACGUAGAGAUAAAAUUAUGAUACUAAGAUUACAAUCAUAUCUGUUAAAGAUUGUCUCUUAUUGCGUAUACACGUUAUUGUAUAUAAAUCAUAUGUAUAUAAUUUUGUUUAGUAAUCAUGUUAACAUACUUAAAUUCAAAGUGUAAUACAAGUUUACAUUUUAACUACUCGUACACGUUAUCCGUAUCAAUUUAUUUGAUAAAGUUGUAUUGGCAAAAUGUCAUGCUGCUCCUUACUGUUUGUGCGGUGGGAGUAGUUUCAAGACCUUAAUCUUUGAAGUGAAAAUAAAUUGGAGUUAUUGCAACUAAAAGCACAAGUUGGAAUUUGUUUGUCAUUCCGACUCGUUCAACGGGUGCAUUUUACCGACCAUAAACGAACAUUAAAGUGUUUCCUUCAAGUUCAGUAUUCAUUAUGUUCUAUUACCAUUAUGUAUAUUCACAACAUGUCUAUCAAUAAAAAACCUAUCAAUUAACAACUGAAAAAUAACCCCUUAAUCUCAAUU